GAUGAACGCUGGCGGCGUGCUUAACACAUGCAAGUCGAACGAAGCAUUUAGGACAGAUUACUUCGGUUUGAAGUUCUUUAUGACUGAGUGGCGGACGGGUGAGUAACGCGUGGGUAACCUGCCUUGUACUGGGGGAUAGCAGCUGGAAACGGCUGGUAAUACCGCAUAAGCGCACAAUGUUGCAUGACAUGGUGUGAAAAACUCCGGUGGUAUAAGAUGGACCCGCGUCUGAUUAGCUAGUUGGUGAGAUAACAGCCCACCAAGGCGACGAUCAGUAGCCGACCUGAGAGGGUGACCGGCCACAUUGGGACUGAGACACGGCCCAGACUCCUACGGGAGUCAGCAGUGGGGAAUAUUGCACAAUGGAGGAAACUCUGAUGAAGCGACGCCGCGUGAGUGAAGAAGUAAUUCGUUAUGUAAAGCUCUAUCAGCAGGGAAGAUAGUGACGGUACCGGUCUAAGAAGCUCCGGCUAAAUACGUG
rnacentral:rRNA from 1 species